rnacentral:lncRNA from 12 species
GACAAAACUUUUUUUUUCCAGAAAACUUAUUUCUAUGUAAUAUAUUACACAGUGUUUGGAGGAAAUAUUGAUUUAACUCACUUUAUCAAAAUGCAUUUGUGCAUUUGUGCAUUUCCCUCAUUAUUACAGUUUUUAAAAGAAAGAUACUGCUGGCCAUCUCAGGAAGUCUCGUCUGUUGUAUUGUAAUCCUGAUCAUUGGAUGCAUCGUUCUAAAAAUCACCCGUAAACCAGAGGUAAAAGAAACAGCACCAGAGGAUUUGUUUUUCUCAAUGACAGACUCCAAGAACAAAACUAUUUCACCCAUGAAGGAGUACAUGGACAACAGAUCAACAGAGCUGGAGGGUAUGUGCUUUUACUAACAUUACAAUCAAAUGAUUUACCAAUAUACUAUUUCCCAAACUUUAUACUUUGUAAAAAAUAUUAAGUGACUCAAAGUGAACAAGUUUUUGCUCGUAUUUACAAGCCAAAAGUAUGAUUUUGUAUUUUAAACUACUGUAAAAUUGCCAGACUCUCUCUGUUAUCAUUCAGAAUGUCAGGAAAAAGCAGAACUGAUCGCUGACCGUGUUUCAGCUGUUCAUGAGGAUGGUGUGAUUAAAGGUAAGAGACCUAACAAAUAUAUUUCUACCAAUCAUAAUACUGUAAUAGAAAUCAGUCAUUUUACUUAUGUACAGUACAUCACAGGAUUAUGAUAAUGUUUGUGAAUUUUUUUUUUUAUCACAAAUGACACAAUUUUUCUCUUAAAGAUGAAGACGCACCAGCAUCAGAAGCCAAUGGCCUGACAUCAUUCAAAGGUAAAGUUCAAUUUAUUCUUAUUUUACUAUCAUUGAGAGGCUAUUAUUAUUAUUAUUAUUAUUAUUAUUUUUNNNNNNNNNNNNNNNNNNGUUUUAGUAAUUGUAUCUCUUGUGUGUGUGUGUGUGUGUGUGUGUGUGUGUGUGUGCCCAUAUAGUUUUCAUUCUUCUUUAUUUAAUUUUUAGUCAUGUAUUAGUGCAUAAAGUUAAACUAAAUAUUUAUAAAUAUUAAUAUUUAUUUAUUUAAUUUCAGUUAAAUUCAUUUUAUUUAAAUAAAGACAUUUUUUAAAAGUUUUAAUUAACUUUAAUGACCCUGGUUAAAUUUUGUCUUA